AAAGUCGUAACAAGGUUUCCGUAGGUGAACCUGCGGAAGGAUCAUUAUUAAACGGCGCAAGCCUAUAUAUAAUCCUUUAUAACAUCUGUGAACUAUUUGCCCUCCUCGGAGGGUACACUUACAAAACAUAACUGUAACGAAUGUAAACCACUAUAAAGUUAAUACAACUUUCAACAACGGAUCUCUUGGCUCUC
rnacentral:misc_RNA from 1 species